rnacentral:misc_RNA from 1 species
GAUGAAGAACGUAGCGAAAUGCGAUACGUAAUGUGAAUUGCAGAAUUCCGUGAGUCAUCGAAUCUUUGAACGCACAUUGCGCCCCCUGGUAUUCCGGAGGGCAUGUCUGUCCGAGCGUCAUUAGUCCAAUCUCAAGCCCGGCUUGUCGUUGGGUCGCACCGCCCGGGGCGGUGGACCCGAAAUAUAAUGACGGGGUCUAGCGGACCGUGGGCGCAGCGAGCUUUUACAGCACGCGUCCCGGCGUCAUCUAGACGCGUCUCCAACCAUACUCUCUGUAGGUUGACCUCGGAUCAGACAGGAUUACCCGCUGAACUUAAGCAUAUCAAUAAGCGGAGGA